rnacentral:rRNA from 1 species
UAAUACCGCAUAAUGUCGCAAGACCAAAGAGGGGGACCUUCGGGCCUCUUGCCAUCAGAUGUGCCCAGAUGGGAUUAGCUAGUAGGUGGGGUAACGGCUCACCUAGGCGACGAUCCCUAGCUGGUCUGAGAGGAUGACCAGCCACACUGGAACUGAGACACGGUCCAGACUCCUACGGGAGGCAGCAGUGGGGAAUAUUGCACAAUGGGCGCAAGCCUGAUGCAGCCAUGCCGCGUGUAUGAAGAAGGCCUUCGGGUUGUAAAGUACUUUCAGCGGGGAGGAAGGUGUUGUGGUUAAUAACCGCAGCAAUUGACGUUACCCGCAGAAGAAGCACCGGCUAACUCCGUGCCAGCAGCCGCGGUAAUACGGAGGGUGCAAGCGUUAAUCGGAAUUACUGGGC